AUCGAUGUCAACGUUCACAAGAACCAAAAUCGGAACAACAUUAGACUACUCAGUUGCGCCCUAAGUGUAUAACUUUGCAACGAGUACUUUUUCUCAUUCUAUCGAACGAAGAGUAAAAGCUAAUUAUACUAUUCUAUUUUUCCCCGAGAGUGUAAAUUUGGAACGAAUCGACGUCAACGUUCACAGGAACCAAAACCGAAACAAUAUUAGAAUACUCAGUUGCGCCAUAACAGUAUAACUUUGCAACGAGUACUUUUUCUCAUUCAAUCGAACAACAGUUAAACCUAAAUAUAUUGUUCUAUUAUGCCCCGAGAGUGUAAAUUUCGAAUGAAUCGAUGUCAACAUUCACAAGAACCAAAGCCGGAACAACACUAGACUACUUAGUUGCGCCCUAACAGUAUAACUUUGCAACGAGUACUUUUUCUCAUUCAAUCGAACAAAGAGUAAAACCUAAUUAUCUUAUUCUAUUUUGCCUUGAGAGGGUAAAUUUCGAACGAACCGAUGUCAACGUUCACAAGAACCAAAAUCGGAACAACAUUAGACCACUCAGUUGCGCCAUAACAGUAUAACUUUGCAGCGAGUACUUUUUCUCAUUCAAUGGAACAAAGUGUAAAACUAAAUUAUAUUAUUCUAUUAAGCCCCGAGAGUGUAAAGUUGCAACGAAUCGAUGUUAACAUUCACAAGAACCAAAACCGGAACAACAUUAGACUCCUCACUUGCGCCCUAACAGUACAAAUUUGCAACGAGUACUUUUUCUCAUUCUAUCGAACAAAGAGUAAAAUCAAAUUGUAUUGUUCUAUUAUGUCCCGAGAGUGUAAAUUUGGAACGAAUCGAUGUCAACGUUCACAAGAACCAAAACCGGAACGACAUUAGACUACUAAGUUGCGCACUAACAGUAUAACUUUGCAACGAGUACUUUUUCUCAUUUAAUCGAACAAACAGUUAAAUAAAGAGUAAAACCUAAUUAUCUUGUUCUAUUUUGCCUCGAGAGAGUAAAUUUCGAACGAAUCAAUGUCAACGUUCACAAGAACCAAAAUCGGAACAACAUUAGGCAACUCAGUUGCGCCAUAACAGUAUAACUUUGCAACGAGUACUUUUUCUCAUUCAAUCGAACAAAGAGUAAAACAUAAUUAUAUUAUUCUAUUCUGCCCCAAGAGCGUACAUUUGCAACGAUUCGAUGUCAACGUUCACAAGAACCAAAGCCGGAACAACAUUAGACUACUCACUUGCGCCCAGCGCCCUAGCAGUAUAACUUUGCAUCGAGUACUUUUUCUCAUUCUAUCGAACAAAGCGUAAAACCUAAUUAUAUUGUUCUAUUAUGGGUAAAUUUUGAACGAAUCGAUACCAAUAUUCACAGAACCAAAACCGGAACAACAUUAGACCUCUCAGUUGCGCCCUAACAGUAUAACUAUGCAACGAGUACAUUUUCUCAUUUAACCGAACAAAGUGGAAAACCUAAUUAUAUUGUUCUAUUAAGCCCCAAGAGUGUAAAGAUGGACGAAUCGAUGUCAACGUUCACAAGAACCCAAAUCGGAACAAUAUUAAGCCCCGCGACCAACCGCCAAUUUGGACCGGGUCGCGGCGCCGCCGACAGACCGCCGAACGGACCGGGAAUUCCCCUGUACGUGGACAGAGUCUCCCCAGUACGUCCAAGGCGUCGCAAUCCAAACAAUCAACGAAUGUUCUAACAAGGAACGGAUAUCAAUCCAGAUUGCAUAAGGAAGUAUCAAAUACAUAAUCUACUUGCUAUUACAAGUAGAUUUAUUUCACAACCACGUUUUACAUCACAGUUUCAGUUUACAUUUUUACUUCCGAAUUACAAUCUCACUAUUACAUCAGAGUUUACGAGUUUGAUACAUUUCUUUUCUUGUCUUCUAGACCCCUAAGCUAGACUGUCUCAGGGUACUGCUACCUCGGUCUCUUUGGUAGGGCGCUAUCUACUGAGCUACGCCCUCGCCUCGCACCGCCGCGUGGCACACGAACGACCUGAAAACCCCAAAACAACGUGGGGUGAGAACCAACUCCAUGGUUCCCAAUGGAUACGGCCACCCAAGGGAAAAGCUCGACCGAUAGGUCCGAGGAGGCACUGCAACAUGUUAGCUCAACAAUAUACAACAAAUAUAUAUAUUCAAUUGAAAUACAUGCCCUGCCUCACAAUAUGCGAUAUGAAAAUCAUGCAAUAACUAAUACAUCAUUUGAAUUCUACUUUUACUUGGCUACUUUAGCUCAUAAUUUUGCAACGAGUACUUUUUCUCAUUCAAUCGAACAAAGAGUAAAACCUAAUUAUCUUGUUCUAUUUUGCCUCGAGAGGGUAAAUUUCGAACGAAUCGAUGUCAACGUUCACAAGAACCAAAAUCGGAACAACAUUAGGCAACUCAGUUGCGCCAUAACAGUAUAACUUUGCAACGAGUACUUUUUCUCAUUCAAUCGAACAAACCGUUAAACCUAAUUAUAUUGUUCUAUUAUGCCCCGAGAGUGUAAAUUUCGAAUGAAUCGAUGUCAACGUUCACAACAACCAAAGCCGGAACAACAUUAGACUUUUCAGUUGAGCCCUAACAGUAUAACUUUGCAACGAGUACUUUUUCUCAUUCAAUCGAACAAAGAGUAAAACCUUAUUAUCUCAUACUAUUUUGCCUCGAGAGGGUAAAUUUCGAACGAAUCGAAGUCAACGUUCACAGGAACCAAAACCGGAACAAUAUUAGAAUACUCAGUUGCGCCCUAACAGUAUAACUUUGCAACGAGUACUUUUUCUCAUUCAAUCGAACAAACAGUUAAACCUAAUUACAUUGUUCUAUUAUGCCCCGAGUGUGUAAAUUUCGAAUGAAUCGAUGUCAACGUUCACAAUAACCAAAGCGGGAACAACAUUAGACUACUUAGUUGCGCCCUAACAGUAUAACUUUGCAACGAGUACUUUUUCUCAUUCAAUCGAACAAAGAGUAAAAGCUAAUUAUCUUGUUCUAUUUUGCUUCGAGAAGGUAAAUUUCAAGCGAAUCGAUGUCAACGUUCACAAGAACCAAAGCCGGAACAACAUUAGACUACUCACUUGCGCCCUAACAGUAUAACUUUGCAUCGAGUACUUUUUCUCAUUCAAUCGAACAAAGAGUAAAACCUAAUUAUCUUAUUCUAUUUUGCUUCGAGAGGGUAAAUUUCGAACGAAUCGAU
rnacentral:lncRNA from 1 species